UACAAAAAACCUUCUUCCAAAGCAGUGCCAGUGGGCUGCAUAUCCUUGCAUAUACUGUAAAUCUUGCUAUCUUAUUGGUGAUAGCCUUUCUACGAGCUUCUGGCGAGGGUCCUGGGGAUGAUUGUGGCAAAAAGUAGGCAGUCAGACAAGGUUGUACAGUUGAUGUUGCUCCACUCGUUUCUCGUGCCUCCACUGCUUACUUGGGUGGUAAGGUAGCAGAACCCAAAACCGCUUCCACACACUGCUUGCAGAUUCUUCGGUGUCGUGAUUAUUGGAUCAGCUUAGCUUUGCUCACUUGUGCCUCCCUCCCUCCAAGAACGCCCUCUGCUGGACCACAAGACUCAUCUGGCUCUCAAAUCAUCUAUAUGAAAAGAAUGAAGAGGUUCUUUGCCUCAAUUAGGGGUGAAUGCUGACUCAGAGGAGCACAUAACAGACAGGUUGCUGUUGUACAUUCACUAUGAAAACUUUCCUCCAUUUACAUCCAAGGGCGGUGGAUGUGAUGAAAGACAGCGGAGACUCAAUUGAAAUGCAGGUUUUCUAUUUUCCAGACUCUCCCCUAACUGAAAGACAAGCAGCUGUUUGAUUGGAUGAUUUACUUACUGACUACUCUGGCUGAGGAUUUGGGGAAUCCCAACACAGCUGUGUGACAACAUGGCAAAGGCUGACAAGGUCAUGGUGAUUUAGCUUCAAGGUCUGACUUCCUUACAUGAAAAUCCUUCUCCUUCUUGUGCCUUUCUCAUGAAGCAAAAGGUCUGUUUUUAAUGUGCUGGUCCUCCCAAUAUGUAAGAAUAGCAUGACAAUGUGUAUUCUAUCAUACUUCUAUUCUUGUUUUUAAAUAUCAGGUUUUGUGCAACAUAAACGAGCUACCGUUUAUACUGCCCACAUUAGCUUGAUGAGAGGUGAGUGAAGUCAGUUCAGAUGUCCCUGUACUAUUGGCAGUGUAUCAUCUUGUCACAGCAGUACUAUGUCACAGCCAGCCAGCCCAGUGACUUUCCAUCGACCUUGAAUUUUUGGAGAUGCCGGGGAACCACAGGUCUCCAUGGCAACAAGAUUAUUACAUCACUACUCUCCAGCUGCUGUCGUCAAGCCGGUGUUUGGCCAAGCUCUGCGGCAGCCCAGCAGUGACUCCACACAAUCAUCACACAAACACACACACACAUAUACUGCUGGGCAUACCAAAGACUCUCACUCUGAACUCUUCCAACUAGAAGACAAUGACCAUAUGUUCAAACCUAUCAAGAUUUUGAUAGGAGCUAGUUAUUUGCAUUUAGGAUUUGUUGUGUAGAAUCAAUAGUUAAAAUGUGUUCUUUUUCUGUAAAGACAAUGUGUAUUUAAAGGCAGAGUGCCACCUCCCUGAAGCGUCCUGUAUUUGUGUGUUUGAGCCAUUAUACUGCAGUAAGAUUUUAAAAGAGAUUCAUGCAUUUUUUAACAGUGUUAAUCAGAGCAAAAAUGCGAAGCAUUUGAUGGAUCCAGCUUCUCAAAUGUGACAGUUUGCUGCUUUUCUUUGUCUUAUAUUAUAGUAAAGUGAACAUAUUUGGAUUUUGGACUGUUGGUCUGACAAAAAUGGCAAUUUGAAGAUGUCACCUUGGGCUCUAAGAAAUUGUAAUUUCAUCCAUUUCACAAUAUUUUCUGUCAUGUUAUAGAUAAAACAAUUAAUUGAUUGAUCUAUUGAAGAAAAAGAGGAAUAUUUGAUUGUGAAAAUAAUUGUUAGUUGCAGCCCUACUUGAAACCAUGUAAUAAAGAAAGGAAAGAAAACAAGAACAGGAUAAUAGUAAUAAAUGUUUUUAAAAAAAAUGCAUGAAAAACAUUUUUUUACAUGUUAACUAAACAAUUUUAAUGGAACUAUAAGUGAUACAAAAAAUAACAGAUGACCAUAAACUGAGAUGUUUCUGCUCUGUGUCUCUGUAGCUGUCUUCUCCCUUGUAGCCUCCGUUACCCCAGUUUGGUU